rnacentral:tRNA from 1 species
CGGGGCGUCGCCUAGUGGCUAUGGCGCUUGCUUUGGGAGCAAGAUAUCGGGAGUUCGAGUCUCUCCGCCCCGA